rnacentral:rRNA from 1 species
UCCGUAGGCGGGCAAUUAAGUCAGAGGUGAAAUCCCACAGCUCAACUGUGGCACUGCCUUUGAUACUGGUUGUCUUGAGUUAUAGUGAAAUAGAUAGAAUAUGUAGUGUAGCGGUGAAAUGCAUAGAUAUUACAUAGAAUACCGAUUGCGAAGGCAGUCUACUAACUGUAUACUGACGCUAAUGGACGAAAGCGUGGGGAGCGAACAGGAUUAGAUACCCUGGUAGUCC